rnacentral:piRNA from 1 species
UAGGACUGUUUGAUUUACCCAACAAA